rnacentral:miRNA from 1 species
AAGAAACGAAGGACAGGAGUGAGAGGGAGAGUCAAGAGAGGAGGUAUGGAAGUGAGAAAGGAAGAGGUUUCUCUCUCUCUCUCUCUCUCCUUUUUUUUUUU